GAUGAACGCUGGCGGCGUGCUUAACACAUGCAAGUCGAACGAAGCACUUUAACCUGAUUCUUCGGAUGAAGGUUUUUGUGACUGAGUGGCGGACGGGUGAGUAACGCGUGGGUAACCUGCCUCAUACAGGGGGAUAACAGUUGGAAACGACUGCUAAUACCGCAUAAGCGCACGGUACCGCAUGGUACCGUGUGAAAAACUCCGGUGGUAUGAGAUGGACCCGCGUCUGAUUAGGUAGUUGGUGGGGUAACGGCCUACCAAGCCAACGAUCAGUAGCCGACCUGAGAGGGUGACCGGCCACAUUGGGACUGAGACACGGCCCAAACUCCUACGGGAGGCAGCAGUGGGGAAUAUUGCACAAUGGGGGAAACCCUGAUGCAGCGACGCCGCGUGAGCGAAGAAGUAUUUCGGUAUGUAAAGCUCUAUCAGCAGGGAAGAA
rnacentral:rRNA from 1 species